rnacentral:lncRNA from 1 species
GCCAUCAUUAUUAUUUUUAUUGAGGGCACCCUCUUUUUGACUGACAGAGAGAGAAGCGGGGGUGGAAGAACUCCCUGAGGGCCCCCGAAAGUCAUUGACAUCAUUGCCCUCAGCCCGCAGGGACACAGGGACACCGGUGCCCCUCACGGGAGCAUCCCAGCGAGGCCAAGGCCCGAAGCCUGGUACAGCCCCUCGGCUGGAGACAGAACGUCGGCACUGUUAGUGUGGCCCCCAGACACUUCAAUGCGAUCAGUUCAAACCUCGUGGGACCUCAGCACCAACAGCCUCUUCCAGCAAACAGCUCCGCAGCCAACUCAGCCUGGUGAUUAUUGCCUGACUGCUGGGGCAGACGGAGGUCCUACCGCUCUGGAAGGAAAAUGCCCAGCUGUCCCUGCUCUGCCACCUCCUAGAGCUGAUGAAGCCCUCCUUGCUUGGGCAGCAUGUAGUUGCCAGCUGUGCAUCUUGGAGAAGCCCAAGGUCACAGCCAGAAGUCAGGGGCACCCUGGACCAAGAGGUAAGGACCCGACACCCUCCGCAUCUCCCAUUCCCUCAACGGACAG